AUUCCAGCUCCAAUAGCGUAUAUUAAAGUUGUUGCAGUUAAAAAGCUCGUAGUUGGAUUUCUGGUCUGAUGCCCUGGCCCGCGUCUAACGUGAGUGCCGGUUGUGCGUCUGCCAUCCUUCUAGAAAACCUUCUUACCCUUCGCUGGGCGGAGAAGGGGAUCUAGAUCUUUUACUUUGAAAAAAUUAGAGUGUUUAAAGCAGGCUUUUGCUAUGAAUACAUUAGCAUGGAAUAAUAAUCUAGGACUUCGGUUCUAUUUUGUUGGUUUCUAGAAACUGAAGUAAUGAUUGAUAGGGAUAGUUGGGGGUGCUAGUAUUGAGCGGCCAGAGGUGAAAUUCUUGGAUUCGCUCAAGACUAACUUAUGCGAAAGCAUUCACCAAGGAUGUCUUCAUUA
rnacentral:rRNA from 1 species